UAUGCAGAGACAGCGUGGACACGUGUGGUUUACUCCACCUUUCUCCUCCCUCCUCCACCUUCUCUUCGAACUUCACCCACCUGAAGGCAGCAAAAACACAGAGAAAAGGAGAAGACUCCUUCCACUCCAGCUCGUCUCCUUCUCGCUGUAGAGUGUCCAUCUCAGUGAAGAGCGUAGGCGUGGGCAUGUCCUCAUCUUCAUUCAGGAUGUAACGUAGCCGCUCUGCCGCUGGAGACACUUGAUGGAAUGAAAGACUGUUUUAGAAAAUCUUUACUACUGUAAUAUUUCGAUAGUUUCAACAGAAAUGUAUCAAAUAUAACCUAAAACAUAA